rnacentral:misc_RNA from 1 species
GGAAGUAAAAGUCGUAAUAAGGUCUCCGUUGGUGAACCAGCGGAGGGAUCAUUAUCGAGUUUAUAACUCCCAAACCCUAUGUGAACUUACCACUUGUUGCUUCGGCGCGCGCUUCGGUGCCGCCGAGGACACUUGAACUCUUUGUUUUUAUAAGCAUUUCUGAGUGGCCGAAAGGCAAAAUACAAAUGAAUCAAAACUUUCAACAACGGAUCUCUUGGUUCUG